rnacentral:lncRNA from 1 species
AAAGUACGAUGGCUCACUAUCUGGAAGUCUGCUACAGAUAAGUAUACUGGUAGGGUGGCUAACUAGGCGCAAUCCCCUUACCUCGCUCAACUGAUGGUGCACCUAUCCCUGAAAAAGGAGACCACAAAAGGGCGUGAGAACUACUAAUAGCAGUUCCCAGUGGGUACGGUCGGCGACGACAACGACCUUCCCACUAGGUCUAAAAGCAAAAGUAACUAAAAGAGCGGUAACUAGGAAAAGAAAACAGAGUAACACUAAAUCGUAGUGCAAGGUAAGAACUCCACAUAUAGAGAAGUACACAGUAAACUGAAUGCAGAGGACUAACAAGAAUUCAACUAGUAUUAUAGAUAUUCACCGCAUAUAGUAAAUAUGAAAGCAAUGUACUGAUUACUAGUGAAAUCAUAGGAUAGAAUAUCAAUGCAGUUAUACAAUUAUAACUCUACAAAUCAAGUUAUCUUUGUUUGGCCAUUAGAAUAAGAAAAUAUAGUCCUGAAACCCAAUCACCAUGACCGACUCAUAGGUCCGGUCAAGCCUGCGCCUGCCUAGUGCGCGGACACACUCCCGCAGGUCUGACGGCGACCCCUAGGCUACUGUCUCAACUAUCACUGGCCAGCAUCCGGAGCGGCACUCGAGGGGAGAUGGCAUCUGCAGGCUAUAAUCUAUAAUCACGAGAAACUGCACCUACUAUAAUCAACUCAAAACGUCAAAAGAGCUAGUUACACCUAUCUUAACUCAAUAUCAAAUGCCCAAGAAGAAUAGGUGAUGCAUAAUGUGAUCAACGCAAGAGAGUAAUAACAAUCUGGUAGUAUCUUUCAAAUGCUAUAACGAGUCACAAUAGCUAGGCUUAUAUUCAUACUCAUGCUCUAAAUCAUGUCUUGAUACUGAAUUUCAUAUUCGCGCUUCAAUUUUCACACAAUGAGGACCAAUGAAAAGUAGACAUAUGUGCAAGUUUAGUUUCAUGUGAGGAUCGAUAAAAAGUAUUUAACUUGUGCCAAAAUAGACAUAAGAGGAAAUUCGCCGUUUUCGGCAACUCGGAACCCACCUCGACUUGCUAUGUCAACUCAGGUAAAAGGAAUGCUACACGCGACCCUUCUCACGAUUGCCCGAAAAUACUACACACGACGAAACAUUUCGAAUUACAAUCAACGAACUAAGAUUUCCAAUAGAGCUCAAUUCACGUAAUUUGAACAUCAAUACCUUAAAUUGCGCCUAAAUGGAAAUGUAUAGCACCCUAAUUCAUGCUCUCGGACACCCUGCGAGUAUCAAUUGCAAUUUAGAAAAGCGAAUUAUGCCAAUUGAAACACUCGAUCCACUUCAUUCUUCCCCUUCAUGCAUACUAUUCCCUUUCUUUUCUUUUCUUUCCAUCUCUUUCUCUCUUGAAUUCUCUCUUUCUUUCCUUCUCUUCUUUCUUUCUUCUUCUUCUUUCUUCUCUUCUUUUUCUUUCUUUUUUUCCUUGCUACCCCUGCAGCAGCAGCAAUUUGCUGCUGCUGCUGGGCAGCUUGCAGCAGCAGCUGCUGCUACUGCUGCUGCAGUACUUUACAGCAGCUUGCUGCUGCUGCUAAAGUACCCGCAGCAGCGGCAGGGCAGCAAAGCUGCAGCAGCAAGAAGAGAGGGGAAGGAAAGGAAGAAGAGAAGAAGAAGAGAAAAAGAAAGGGAAAAGGGAGGAAAGAAGAAUGGAAAGGGAGAAAGAAAAAAAAUACCUUCAAUCUUUUCUUCUUCUUCUUCUUCUACUACUUCUCUCUAUCUCUCUCUCUCUCUCAUUUCCUUUCUCUUCUUCUCCAGGCUGAGGAAAUGAGGGGAAAGGGAUAAGGAUGGAUUUAGUGGAAUUCCACUAAGUUGCCCAUUUGCAUCUUAGUCCAAAAUUUUUGCUAUUUGCAAUAUGGCCCUCAUAAUAAAAUGUUGGCCCAAAUCAUCCGUUUUCGCGUCAAUUUCACGCCAAAACGGUUUCACCUCAUUUCCACCCUCCUUCUCACACCUACACAGGUGACAAAAGUCCGUAUCUUACAUCCUCCCCUCCUUAAAAAAGUUUCGUCCUCGAAACAAACAAACUUACUCAGGAAGCUCAGAAAAUAAAAAGGGAUAGCGCUCCCGCAUCUUAUAUUCAAGUUCCCAUGUCGCCUCCCUUUCGUCAUGAUUGCUCCAAUGUAUCUUCACGUAGGGGAUGACUCGGUUUUGUAGCUUUUUCUCCUGGCGCGCUAGAAUUUGCAUCGGUCGCUCUUCAUAUUUCAAAUCCUCUGCUAAAUCCAAAGAAGAGUAAUCGAUCUGUCACGCCCCGAGACCGAUGCCAAUUUGGCCCGACCCGAGCACGUCAAACAGACGCCGAACGGACAGAGUUUUCCCUNGGGGAUGACUCGGUUUUGUAGCUUUUUCUCCUGGCGCGCUAGAAUUUGCAUCGGUCGCUCUUCAUAUUUCAAAUCCUCUGCUAAAUCCAAAGAAGAGUAAUCGAUCUGUCACGCCCCAAGACCGAUGCCAAUUUGGCCCGACCCGAGCACGUCAAACAGACGCCGAACGGACAGAGUUUUCCCUGUCCGCCCAAGGCUCAUCACACGUACAUUUUCAUCAAUAGAGAAAAGCACUAGCGGAAACAUACAUAAACGGCUUACACGAGGGUAAGCAAUAGCCAUUAGUGAAAGAAUAAGGAAACUAAACAUUCACAAGUAAUAUGAUUCAUUUUAGAUCAUAUACAUUGCAUUCAUCUAGUAAUUUAUCGAAUUCUUACAUUCAUUACAUCAUUUCAUCAUUUCUUUCUUACAUCACGUUUACCUCAAAAUAAGCUUUACAUUUUUUUUUUUUCCUUACAUCAUUUACCAUCAUGUACAAAAGAUGAUCAUAGGGUACUUUACUACGAAAUGAAAUCCAACUUUGGUGGCCUCUGACUAAGGCGCGAUACCUUUACCUCGGUCGCUCGCCGGCUCGCUCGGUCUCGGCUCUGUGGAAAUAGUGGGGUGAGAACUACAACAAAGUUCCCAGUGGGUUCGGCCUCAACAUCACCGACUUUCCCACUAGGACUAACUCAGGCAUAAUAGAAAGGAUAAGCAGGAUAUAGUAACCAAUCUAUAACAUGAUGCUAAUAUGCCUGAACAAAUAGCAAGAAGUAUGCUCAACAUUAAAUAUAUGCAAAUUAUGCAAACUCAUUAGUUCUUUGACUUUACUUUGUACUUUGUUCUUUAUUCUUUGCUCUUUGUUCUUUGUUCUUUAAUCUCAAGGCUAACCCGGAGGUUUCGCCACAUCAACUUGCUUCACAUUAAGUCCAUCAUCGCAGGAACUCACCAGCUAGGACCGUCCUUACGGGUCUACUCCAACCCGGAUGCAUAACUCCGGAGCGCAUCGCCCGAGGGGGAGCGACCGCCCUCGAGCACGGAACUCAUAGCAAGUAUGAUCAUAUCCUUAACUCAAAGAAUUUAUAAGUUCAAUCAUGACUUUACACUAGCUCUAGUGUUCUUUACAUCACUUUAUGUUGCAAACUCAUGCAAUUACAUUCUUUACAUUUCUUUACUCUUGCUAACUCUAGCAUUCUUGUUCUUUACAAUACUUGUUCUUAUUUGCCCCACUUUACUUUACUUUACACAUUGUCAUUUUCAUCAUUCUUUUCAUCACUUUGGUUCUUUGUAUCACACUAACUCUAGUGUUCUUUAUUUUACACUUUCAAAUGCCACUCGAUCUAUGUCAUGUGCCACUCGGUUCUUUUGCUCACUUUGGGUGCUCACAUUUUCUCUCAUGCAUACAUCUAGGGUUUUGACAUUAUUAGGUUCUCAACCAUCUCAUUAUGCAAGUUGUGCUCACAAUCAUGCAAUCAUCAUAUUUCAUCAUUACUUUCCCCUAAUAUGCAUGCAACAAUAUAUAGAACAUAUGCUCAAAGAAUGACACAUUAGGCAUAGAGAGAAUUUCAAUGAGGUUGAGAAGCACCACCCACCUCGUAGGCUUUCAAAGGUGCUCCGACAAUUUUCUUGGGAUUUUUAGAUGCUUCGUUCUUUACCUGCGGCAAAACGAACCCUUAUUAGGCCAUUCUGCUCAUAACUUUACUUUGACUUUUCGUAACGUUAAUCCGAGCGCACCAACGCGUCGGAAAUACCCCCAAUUAGGUUUCUAGAGGGUCAAUUGCACUUAGAAACCCUCAUGAGCAAAAGCCCCAAUUUGGUGCCCUAGCUUCAAUGUAUAUCAAAACCUAGGGUUUGAUCUCAAAGAAAAGCAAAAGUAGCUUCAUUACACUCUAAUUAGUCCAUUAGAACCAUUCUUAGGCUUUCCAAAACCCUAGUUUGGAUUUCACCAUGAGAGGUGGUCCAAGCUUACCUCUAUAGCAAAUCUAGGUUUUGAUCUCUUUAGAAGCAAAAGAAAGCUUCAAGACUCUUCAAAUACUUUCUUAAAACCAUUUCCAAGUUAAUCCAAACCCUAGUUUGGAAUUUAGCAUGAGAAGGGGCAAGGCUUACCUUUAAACUUGCUCCUUUUCCAAGCUAGAGAAGGAGAGGAGAGGUUUUCUUCACUUCCUCUUCUUCUUCUCCUUUUUCUUCUCCUUCUUUUCCCUCCUUUCCUUGUCUUCUUCUUCUCCUUCUUUGUCUUCUAGAGAGAGAGAAAGAGAGAAGAGGGUGUGAGAGGGAGUGGAAUGAGGGGAGAAGCCCCUUAGCCCACUAACAUAGCUCAAUGGGUUGCAAAAAUGCAAUAAAACCCCUCAACUUUCACUUUAAUGCACUGCCCGUACUGGGCAGUUCGCGCAGGCAGAGACCGGUCUCCCCGAGCAGGGACCGGUUCCCGAACGUCCACCCUGCGCAGCCAGAGUCGCUGCGCGCGAUGCGACCGGUCUCUCUCUGAUGGGACCGGUCUCUGGGGGAUCGGUCUCUCAGACAGAGACCGGUUCCCGAGAGCUAAUCUUCCAGGACUUAGCCGAUUUUUCGGCUGUCUCAUUUCAUACGCGUUCGGGGACCGGUCUCUCCCACUAGGGACCGGUCCCCGAGAGCUCAAAAUCUGCAGUUUUGUAGAAUUCGAUUCUUUAGCUCUCGAAAACCUUCCACAACUCGCUUUUACUCAUCUUAACACCUUCGAACUUUCCGAAGUGUACCAUCCUCGCACUUUGGUCAAUUUGACUAAAGUUCGAUAUUUAUUCUCCGAAUUUUCGGUAUAUUACACGAUCACAUGCGUAGGGUCGAAAACAUACUUCCUCAGGGUUGACACGUGAAAGACAUCGUGAACACCGGAAAGUCUAGGUGGCAAAGCAAUACGGUAGGCCACUGGUCCAAUUCGCUCCAAAAUCUCGAAAGGACCAAUAUAACGCGGGCUCAAUUUUCCUCGCAAUCCAAAUCGGUAUAUACCCUUUGACGGCGAAACCUUUAGAAAAACGUGAUCUCCCACCUGAAACUCAAGGUCUCGUCGUCGAGUAUCUGCAUAGCUCUUUUGUCGACUUUGAGCUGCCAAAAUAUGUUGUCGUGCCAGCUUUACCUUUUCUUCUGUUUCCAUCAAAAUGUCUGGGCCCAAAGUCUUUCGUUCACCCACGUCACUCCAAUAUAAGGGAGAUCGACAUCGACGUCCAUAUAAUGCUUCGAAUGGAGCCAUCUUGAUACUCGACUGAUAACUAUUAUUGUAUGCAAACUCCACCAAUGCCAAAUGUCGAUACCAUCCGCCUCCAAAAUCAAGAACACAGGCCCUCAACAUGUCUUCAAGUAUUUGGAUUGUCCUCUCGAUCUGGCCAUCAGUCUGUGGGUGAAACGCAGUGCUGAAGUGGAGCUGAGUCCCCAAGGCGGUCUGUAGACUUUUCCAAAAGUGUGACACUGUCACGCCCCGGGACCUAGCGGAAGCCCGCCCGGCACGUGCCCAGACCCGCCAUACGUCUAAAACAUAUAAGGCGUCUAAAAACAACAAUAAUAAAAGCAAUAAUAAAAGGCAUCUAGGAGUAUCAGAGCAUAAUAAAUAUCUAAAUACAACAACAAGGGAUAAGGAUAAACUGUAAAUCCGCUAAAUAAAACAUAAAGGUGAUACAAGGAGAUCCCAGAUACAAGUGCUAUAGGUAGAUACAUAGGUGGUCUCUAUACAUGGAUAUAAAAACCUCUCACUCUCUCAACUACAAAGGAAAGAGUAAACCACCUAGGCAAAGUACCGCUCCUCGCUAGCUAGCUAAGCGAUCCCCUUGCCGCGAUCCCGUGCCUCCGCCGGUGCCGAAGGCUCUGAAAAGUAAACCAUAAAACAGGGGCGUGAGAACUAUUAAAAAUAGUUCCCAGUGGGCAAUUACUGACUUCAGUGAAUGCACCACAAGGCCCAAAGCUACAAAAGAUGUCAGUGACUAUAAAAGUAGAAAGCGAAAGGUAAGUAAAAAUGUAACUUACUACAACAUGAUAUCUCUACUUAGCAUAAAUAGCAUAAGUAUGAAAGCAACUAUGCAUGAAGUAAAAGUCUCCAACUAUCAUAAUGUUCACAAUGCGAAAUAGUAAAGUUCCGUUGUUUACUAUUCUAGUCAAUGUCCAAGUAGUACACUAAGUCAUCAUCUGUCCACAUGUCAUAAUGAAUACUCAAAGUCAAAUCUGAAGAGACCCACCCGAAGGCUGUCUAUGGCCCUGAGACCCACCCGUAGGCUGUCUGGCCGGUGCCGAGCCUAAUGGCCCCGUGGUAGUCAUCAUCCCCACCCUAGGAAUGAGCCUGGCCCACGGCAAUCCACUUCGGCGCCUAAUCCCGCACGGCGAAUAUGAAUCGCGAUGGCUAUCUCCGGAGUGCCGGCUUGUAGGGAGCGACCCUCACAAGCAUGUGCGAAUGAGCACAAUGGCAAGUAGUCAAACGAUCUGUCACAAGUACCAAGUCCUCAUGUCUAAUAACAUGGAAUAUAUGUCACCAAUCUCAUAGGCCUAUCCCUUAUGUCAUCAUGUCUCUAACAUGGAAUAUAGCAGAUGUGUAGUGGCCUAUCAAUAUGUCUCUAUAUUGCAGUUUCAUAAUUCUCUCGGCCAAGUGCCUCUUUAUAACACUAUGGCUCAUUUUGUCCCAACAUGGAUACUAAGUUCAAGCACUUGUAAUUCUAGUCAAAAUCGAAGCAAGAAACUUGAUUUCCUACCAUCUCAUAGAAUGUUCGCCGCAUGCAUGUUAACAAAGCACAUUGUCUCUCUCUACUAUAUAGAGUAAAUUUUCUUGAUGCAUAACAUAUGAGUUCUAAGCAUUCCAAAAAUUCUCAUAAAUGCUACUAAACAUGAAUAUGCAUGAACUUAUGGUAAGUGAAAGCAUUUAACCGCAUAGGAGGAAUUUCCUCCCAUUUCAAAGAAGCCAAACCCACCGAUGACAACGAAACUCCUCGUUUGCUCCAACGAGGGCGUCCACCACACUCCUAGUACCCUAAAGGUACAAAAACAUGUGUCAUCUAGUCGAAACGAAUGUCGCUAAGAUCAAUCAAUAAGCUAUUCAAGCAUAGGUGAGGAAAACUCACCUCCAAAGCAAAGAUCUCCUCUAAAGCUCCAAAAGAGAGCUAGAAUCCUUCCAAUCCAAGUCAAAGGAAGAUUCUAAUCCACUCAAUCUAGCUUCAAAAGCCCUAGAUUCAAAAUGCCCAAAUUAAACCCUAAAAAACCUCAUUCUAGGGUUUCAACACAAAGAAGCCAAUAAAAAUCUAAUCUAGAGGGAGAUAACAAGUUGCUUACCUCUUAGAAGCUUCAAACCAAGCUCUAAAUGCUCUAAGUCCAAAGAGCUCACCUCAAUCAAGCCUCAAACCCAAGCUCCUAGCUCCAACAAUGGGGGAGAAGUCUCUAGCCAAGCAAAAAGGGAGUUUAAUCUCUUAAAACCCCAACCAAAAUCAAAGAAAUCACAAAGGAAGGUGUGGAGGGCUUCCUCACCUUUCUCCCUGCAGGUUCCAAGCUCAGGGGAUACCCUAGGGGCGUCGGGUUACUAAUAGAAGGCUACAAACGCGAAAAACCCCCUGCAGUUCCAUUCUGUGCAAAACUGCCUCCUUGUACCGGUACACGGGCUCUUGUACCGGUACAAGGCCGACGAAAUUACAAACCCGAGGCUCGGGUUGCUGGGUCUGCGGCUCUGUACCGGUACAAGCCCGAUGGCUGUACCGGUACAACCAUCAACCUUGUACCGGUACGAGACCAACCUUGUUCCGGUACAAGCUCUGCUGCAGGCUACCCGAGAGCUGACCAAGAUACAAUCAUUUUGGGCUUUGGUGCAAGGCUUAAACCACAAUUCUCGGGACUCGAACCAUAGGUCGGAACACUGUGAACGACCCACCAGAAAGUCUGAAAAAGUUCAGAACAUAGUCAAUCACUCGAACCCCACAAUUUGUGAGGUCCAGUGCGUCACAGACACAAACCUCGUGUCUCUAUUAGAUACAAUCGAAGUCGGUACUCCAUGGAGUCUCACUAUCUCAUCAAUAUAUAUCUGAGCGAGUCUCUCCCUAGAACAAGUCCUGUGAACUGGAAUACAAUGUACCGAUUUCGUCAAUCUAUCAACUAUUACCAAAUAGCAUCAUGUCCGCCCUGUGAGCGUGGCAAUCCUAGCACAAAAUCCAUAGUAAUCAUAUCCCACUUCCAAAUAGGGAUUGGGAGAUUCUGAAGUUUGCCUGCAGGAAGUCGAUGUUCUGCCUUUACUUGCUGGCAAGUCAAACAUUGUGCUACAUAUCUUCCAAUAUCCCUCUUCAUUCCUGGCCACCAAUAAUGUGUUUUCAAAUCACGAUACAUUUUUGUUCCUCCAGGAUGAACUGCGUAAGGAGAGCUAUGCGCCUCUUUCAAAAUCUCUUCACGGAGUGCCGCAUCUCCAGGUACAUACAAGCGAUCACGAAAUCGAAGAAUCCCUGAGGUAUCAACACUAUACCCCCUGCCUGACCAGCCUCAAAAGUUGAUCUAAUUUUUGCUAGUUGUGAGUCUUCACUCUGCUUCUUCCUAAUCUUAUCCAUUAAAGUGGGCUGCAAGACCAAGGACAUAAGUCUAGCCGAGAUCCCUGGGGCUACAACCUCUAGCUCUAGUCGUCGCAUCUUCUCUAAUAGCGGCGCUUGCUUGGUAAUCAACAAACUCAGGUUCUCCACAGCUUUGCGACUCAAGGCAUCUGCAACCACGUUGGCCUUUCCAGGGUGAUAGAGGAUAGUUACAUCAUAAUCUUUUAACAACUCUAGCCAACGACGCUGUCUCAGAUUUAAUUCUUUCUAAGUGAAUAAGUACUUGAGACUCUUGUGGUCAGUGUAAAUUUCACAAUGCUCUCCAUAUAAAUAAUGACGCCACAUUUUCAACGCAAACACCACAGCAGCGAGCUCCAAAUCAUGAGUAGGAUAGUUUUUUUCAUAUUCCUUUAGUUGUCGUGAAGCAUAAGCAAUUACCUUGCCAUGCUGCAUCAAUACACAACCUAACCCAUUGCGCAAGGCGUCACUAUAAAUUACGAAUCCUUCCCCCAUUAUAGGGAGGGCAAGAAUCAGGGCUGUCAUCAACCUAGUCUUCAGCUCUUCAAAGCUCCUUUGACAUUCCUCACUCCAUAUAAACUUAAAUCCCUUUCGGGUCAAACGUGUGAGAGGAGCGAAAAGCUUCGCAAAGCCCUCCACAAAUCGACGGUAGUAGCCGGCCAGUCCAAGAAAGCUCCGCACCUCUGUAACUGUCGUUGGUCUGGGCCAAUCCUGAAUAGCUUCAACCUUCAUCGGGUCAACUGCAAUACCCGUUGCGGAGAUCACAUGGCCCAAAAAGGCUACUUCUUGAAGCUAAAAUUCACAUUUUUUCAAUUUUGCAUACAACUUCUUUUCUUGCAAAAUCUGGAGGACAAGCCUUAAAUGCUUCUCGUGUUCAACAUCACUUCGAGAAUAUAUCAGAAUAUCAUCAAUAAAGACCACCACAAAUUGAUCCAAAAAUGGUUUAAACACUCUAUUCAUCAAAUCUAUAAAUGCAACGGGGGCAUUCGUCAAGCCAAAUGGCAUCAUAGUGAACUCAUAGUGCCCAUAGCGCGUCCUAAAGGCUAUCUUCGGUACAUCCUCUAUCUUUAUCUUCAAUUGGUGGUAUCCAGAUUGCAGAUCAAUUUUAGAGAAAACGCAGGCUCCUUACAACUGAUCAAAAAGGUCAUCGAUCCGUGGCAACGGAUACUUAUUCUUGAUAGUCACUUUAUUCAGCUCUCUGUAGUCUACACACAGUCGAAGUGAACCAUCCUUCUUCUUUACAAAUAGUACCGGUGCUCCCCAGGGUGACACGCUCGGUCGCACAAAUCCUUUAUCCAUUAGAUCCAACAACUGUGCUUUUAGUUCUCGCAGCUCAGCCGGUGCCAUCCUAUAAGGUGCUUUCGAGAUUGGCGUAGUUCCUGGUACUAUGUCAAUCACAAAUUCUAUCUCCCGAUCCGGUGGCAUACCCGGUAGCUCCAGCGGAAAAACAUCUGGAAACUCCCGGACUACCGAGAUGUCCUCAAGCCUCGAUACAGCAGUAGGCACCUCCACCACAGUUGCCAAAAAGGCCACACACCCACGACUCAUCAUCUAUCUCGCCCGAGAAGUGGGGACCGUCGUGGCAAAAAUAGUACUCUGACAACCCUUAUACACAAACUUCUCCUGUCCUGGCUCGCGAAAAACUACAGUUCUCGCCCCGCAAUCAAUAGUCGCAUAAUAGCGAGUGAGCCAAUCCAUCCCUAACACAACAUCAAAAUCCCGUAGCUGUUUUAGGACCAAAAGGUCCGCAGGCAUAAUCCAGCGAUCUAACUGAACUGGGCAAGAUCGACAACACUCAUCGACAUACAAUGUAUGCUCAGGAAUAUGUACUUCACAUGAAAGUGUCAACAACUCAUACUCCAACCCAUGCAAUAGUGCAAACGCUCGACUCACAAAAGAAUGUGAUGCACCAGUGUCAAAUAAAGUACGAGCUCUAAUCCUAAAAAUCAAAGUAAUACCUGCAACCACCGUAUCCGCCGCAGAUGAAUCCUCAACCUGUGCUGCAUAAACUCGUCCACUCGAUGCUGGCGGCUGUCUCUCCACUGGGCGUAAAGCUGGAGCUCGAUCUGAUGUAAAAGUGGGUGGAACUCCUGCCAUCUGACGAGAUGCCGAAGGGGAAGAAGCUGUCGACGGGGCAGGUGAAGCUCGUCGAGGGCAAGUGGCCCAUUGAUGUCCUACCUGGCCGCAACGAUAGCAUCGGCCAUCCCGCUGAGCACAAGUUUGCGGCUGGUGCUGACCUCCGCAAAUCACACAUCGUAUCUGGCCCUGUCGCUAUCGCUGCUGCCUAGCACCACCUGGUGACCUAAUACUACCAGGUCUCCGUCCCGCAAAGGAUCCACGACCCUGAAAACGAGAUCGUGGAUACCUCGGCGGUCUCCCUGAGCUGGAGGGUCCAGCCUCGGACUCCGUAGACCUCUUCCUAUCACUACUUUGCUCCAUUUCAGCCCUUUCUCGCAGCACUACCUCACCUCGCUCUGCGCGCAUAGCCAUCUCGACCGAUGCCUCCAAUGUCGAGAGAUGCUGAAUCUGCACCAACUUAUAAAGCUCGGGGCUUAAUCCCUUCUCAAACAUAUCUGCCCUGUGUCGGUCAUUCCUCGCAACGAACGGCACGCAUGUCAACAAGCGGCUAAAUUCCUGAAAGUACUCCUGCACUGAGUGACUCCCUUGUCUCAGCUUCUUUAAUUCAUCCUCCAUUCUUUCCUUCACACUACUAGGAAAGUACAUGUCAAAGAGCAUGCCCCGAAACUCCGUCCAAGUCACCGGUGGCGCAUCCUUAGGCCUAGACCUCCGAGCCCUCGUCCACCAAUCACGAGCGUCUCCCUCAAGGCAAUGAACUGCUAAGUAUAUCUGAUCUCUCUCGGGAAUAAACAAAUCCUCAAAUAGUCGCUCCAUCCCCUUUACCCAAGCCUCCACCGUUCCUGGUUCGGUGCUCGACUCACAGAAAUGAGGUGGGUCGAACCUCCUAUACUCCACCAACCUCAUCCGAAUUCGCUCCUGCUCUGCCUUGGAAACCUCUCGCAUGACUGCGAAUACAUCAGGAGCAGUAGUAGGUGCUACAGUAACAGUCUCAGGCGGUGCAGUCUGCAUAGUCGAUGGAGUAGAAGUGGUCCUUAUCGGGGAAGUGGGAACUGUUGGUAUAGUAGUCUGACCAGUCGACUGGGGUGCGGGCUGCUCUGGGACACGUGGGGCGGUACCCGUCUACUGAGCCCACAUGUCGCAUAACCUCUGAAUAUACUUUCCCUGCAGCCUCGUAGUCUCAGUCAAGCUUGCUACCUGCUCUCGCAACCCCUGGCUUUCACUGGGUCCCGCCUGAUCGAGCGUCUCAGGCGGUGGUAGGUGGGUCGGUGUCGAUGGUCGCUCACGGGAGCGUUCACCCGAUGCCGACAAUGGAGGUCGUCCACGUCGAGGCAUAGUGCUCACCUAUAAAACACAAGAAAAUAGAAAAGGGUUGGUAAGCGACAUAGUUACAAGGAACUCGACCCAAUCACGCAAAAGUCCAGAAGAAACUACCCUAGUUCCUGUCAUAUUAUGUUGUCUGCAGCCAACAUAAUAAUUCAGGAGAAAACGGUACAUCUCUUCACUCACUCUUUAAUUCCCGUUAAAAGAGUAUACACUAAUCCAAUGACUUUUGCCAACAUAUCACGUCUCUCACGUCUUAAGUCCUAGAGUUCACCAAAGCCUAUAGUUCCUAGGUCCACACGACCUAUUCCAGUGCUCUGAUACCACCCAAAGCUGUCACGCCCCGAGUUCGCAACGGAAGACUACGGGACGCUAACAGACCCGCCGAACGGACAGAGUUUCCUCUGUCCGAACGAAGUGGCAAAAAUAUCAAAUAGUUUUCGAGAGUUACAAGAAACCAUCGGGCACAAUACAAGUAUUAAAAGGAGUCAUGAAAAGCCAAAAGACGAGUAGCAUAGCACUAUCCAUAAGCUGAACCACCGAACAACAAGAAACUAGUAGUAAGAUACAUAAAUUCACACCCAAAUUCAAGUACAAGCAAAUGGCCCCGGCCUGCGCCAGUCCAAAGAAAAGUACGAUGGCUCACUAUCUGGAAGUCUGCUACAGAUAAGUAUACUGGUAGGGUGGCUAACUAGGCGCAAUCCCCUUACCUCGCUCAACUGAUGGUGCACCUAUCCCUGAAAAAGGAGACCACAAAAGGGCGUGAGAACUACUAAUAGCAGUUCCCAGUGGGUACGGUCGGCGACGACAACGACCUUCCCACUAGGUCUAAAAGCAAAAGUAACUAAAAGAGCGGUAACUAGGAAAAGAAAACAGAGUAACACUGAAUCGUAGUGCAAGGUAAGAACUCCACAUAUAGAGAAGUACACAGUAAACUAAAUGCAGAGGACUAACAAGAAUUCAAGUAGUAUUAUAGAUAUUCACCGCAUAUAGUAAAUAUGAAAGCAAUGUACUGAUUACUAGUGAAAUCAUCGGAUAGAAUAUCAAUGUAGUUAUACAAUUAUAACUCUACAAAUCAAGUUAUCUUUAUUUGGCCAUUAGAAUAAGGAAAUAUAGUCCUGAAACCCAAUCACCAUGACCGACUCAUAGGUCCGGUCAAGCCUGCGCCUGCCUAGUGCUCGGACACACUCCCGCAGGUGUGACGGCGACCCCUAGGCUACUGUCUCAACUAUCACUGGCCAGCAUUCGGAGCGGCACUCGAGGGGAGCGACCCCUACCGAGUAUCAUAUCACAAACAUAUAUCAACUCAAGAUGGCAUCUGCAGGCUAUAAUCUAUAAUCACAAGAAACUGCACCUACUAUAAUCAACUCAAAAUGUCAAAAGAGCUAGUUACAACUAUCUUAACUCAAUAUCAAAUGCCCAAGAAGAAUAGGUGAUGCAUAAUGUGAUCAACGCAAGAGAGUAAUAACAAUCAGGUAGUCUCUUUCAAAUGCUAUAACGAGUCACAAUAGCUAGGCUUAUAUUCAUACUCAUGCUGUAAAUCAUGUCUGGAUACUGAAUUUCAUAUUCGCGCUUCAAUUUUCACACAAUGAGGACCAAUGGAAAGUAGACAUAUGUGCAAGUUUAGUUUCAUGCGAGGAUCGAUAAAAAGUAUUUAACUUGUGCCAAAAUAGACAUAAGAGGAAAUUCGCCGUUUUCGGCAACUCGGAACCCACCUCAACUCGCUAUGUCGACUCAGGUAAAAGAAAUGCUACACGCGACCCUUCUCA